AUGACUUCAAGAUGGCGGAUUGCACUUCACGGCCGCUUUUCAAGUGUCUUAUUAAAAGUGGGAAAUUUAAGAAAUUAAGAAUGAAUGCUAUGAAAAGUGAAGUGAGAUGACCUCAAGAUGGCGAAUGAGACUUCAUGAACGCUUUUCAAAUGUCUUAUCAAAGUGAAGUCGUGAGAUGACCUCAAGAUGGCAGAUGAGACUUCAUGGACGCUUUUCAAAUGUCUUAUCAAAGAACUCCAUCAGACACAACUUGUCGUUGCACAGUAGAUUCAUGCGUGUACAGAACGAAGGUACCGGCAAGAGUUCUUGGUGGAUGAUCAACCGGGACGCGAAACCUGGCAAGUCGUCGCGCAGGAGGGCAAUCACGAUGGAAACCAGCAAAUUCGACAAACGACGUAGACAGGUGAGAAAGAAGAUCGAAGCUCUAAAAAAUGGCGGUCUACAGCCUGACGCGACACCUAGCCCGAGCAAUAGCGUGAACGAGGGAUUAGAUCUCUUCCCAGAUAGUCCUCUUCAACCCGGCAGUGGGUUCCAGCUCUCACCUGAUUUCCGUCCCCGAGCUUCGAGCAAUGCGUCAUCCGGUGGUCGGUUAAGUCCCAUUCCGUCGAUCCCUGGCAAACCGGAGUGGACACCGACCUACACACCUUCUUACAAUCUGGAACAAUUAGCCGGCAGCCUUGCGGAAGCAAUGAAAUUGGAAUCGUAUCAGAUGUACCAAACGUCUCCACCGAAUCAUCAGCAACAAACAGGUCCACCACCUUCCUAUUACGAGACCCAGUACCAGAGGAGCAAUAGCCUUACCACAGGGUCGUCCUCGUUCGUAAUGCAGCCCACUACUCAAUCAGCGAAUCAGCAGAGAUGCUCGAUUCACGGUUUGCAACCGUGCGCCUGUCAAAUGAAUUUGAGCCCAGUAGCAGGAAUGUCGCCAUCAUACCAGCAAAGCGAACCCAGUCCCACAGCGUUGGGCAACAGUCAGCAGCAGACCCUCCAAUACAUAAUGCAAACGCAACAGCAAUCGCAGCAGCAGCAACAGCAACAGCAGCAGCAGCAACAACAGCAACAGCCACAAACGGGAGCAACGGGAUCCAGUCCACCUCAUACACCCACACCAUGCGAACCCACGCCCAGUACGAUGAUGGGACAGUUAAUGGGCGCUCUGAACAAUUCCACGCUGCUCGAUGAUUUGAACAUCAACAUCGAAUCGUUGCAUGGAGGAUUUGACUGCAAUGUUGAAGAAGUGAUCAAACACGAGCUGUCGAUGGACGGAACGUUGGACUUCAACUUCCAGCAGGGCGUGAUGAGCACAGCGGCGAUUCAAGUGAGCGACAGCAACGUAGGACAAAAUGGCGGCGUGUCGCAGAACAACGUGGUGGUCGGAACGACGGCUGGAAACGCACCCGCAGGAGUUUACGUAAGCAGCAACGCGGCGACUCCUGCUGCACCUCCCUCGUGGGUUCACUAACUCAUGGAACCCCAUCGCCCUCGACACACCCGUAGUCCUUGCCAUCGACGUCUUUUGACGGACACGAUUAUUUCUGCGCACCGUCCGAGGGACAGCUCAUCGGUGUCCCAUGGGUCGAGGACGAGCGGGAUCGUCGAGUACUUGUGAUAAGGUGUAGGAAUAAUUAUACCGGACCACGACCACGAUACGUACCGUACCACCAAACGUACUUCAAUGCCGAUCUACGUGCAACCGUGGGGCCAGGCACCAUGAUCUUAACGUUUCACGGUCAGCCAUUGUUUCGUUGAACAGAUGCAAAACCUCAGUGAGAUCUCAAUCUGUUCAAACGCUGAAAUUGGACAUUCGAGAUCAUGCUUCUAUAUAAAAGUCCGCGAGUUGAUUUUGUCGCAUUUUCGGAGUUCCCUCGGUACAAGGGUACUCGACUAACCGUUAGAAUUAUUUAUUUUACGUUUAGAAGUGUCCGUGAAUUCGUUGACAUUUGGUACGGAGGCGCUUGUAAGGACUAUACAACAAAAAACGGAAAGUUCCUGCUCGUUUUUUGUUCUUGUGACAAUCGCAAAUGCUCAGGCGUGGUCCAACGGCGGAGUCCACUUCGUUUCUUUUCCCCACGAGCUCAUGCCUCCCUCUCGGCCAUUUAUUUUGAAGAAAUAACGCGGAGUACGUUUGUGCGGUAGCGUGACUGCGCAUGCGCCGUGGAUCGCGCAUGCGCGCGACGCGGAAAAUGGCGGACCGCGCAUGGGCCGAUGAAAGGACGAUGACUCGCCGACAAAUGUUUCGUCGUGCGUACACGAUCUCUGUUCUCUAUAAAAGUAACCUCAUGUGCUUCUCGGCGCACACUAUACAUAUAUAAAUAAAUAUAGAUAUAAAUAUAUUAUAAAUAAAUGAAUAUAUGUAUUCACAGGCACACACACAUACACGGACACGUACACAGACACAUAGAUAUGCGAAGGAUAUACACUAUUAUACUGUAUAUGUAACUAGAAAUAUUUACGAAGAGAAAUUGUUCGCGAAUGUCGCUGCAAGUUCUGUUACGGUAUACAUGUAUGAUAUUAAAUAUAUAACUGCGUAUGUAUAGCGUGUAUCAUACAUGUAUAUGAUAUUAUAUAUGGAUAAGAAAUAUUUAGUAUAUUCUAUAGAAUAUUGUACGUUCGCUAAUGUUAUGUAUAGUAUACAAAGAAGAAAUAUUGCGUAUAUAUGUGUAUGUAUGUAUACAGAUGUACAUACAUAUAUAUAAAUGAUUAUGUGUAUAAUAAUAUAUAGAUAAAACGAGUACAUAGGUUAUGUAUAGGAUAAGCUUAGGUACAAUUUAACGUAAGCAAGCUGCUAGAGGUAGACUUGGAAAUGGAAGAAGUUUUAGUCACAUGGUUAAGCCGCAGUUGACGUGAUGACGAAAUGCUCAUUCUGCGUGGCUUCUUUUCAAAUCGUCGCGUCGUUUCGUGAACGUAGGCGACACGUUGGUGCUUUUCGAUAGGUGAACGUUUCUUUCUUGUUCUCUUGCGUUUCCUGUUGGCGGUACACCUUAGGUCGGCGGUGGGCAACCGAGCUGCCCAGGGCAAAUUUCCAAUGUUCUUCUCCUUUAAAUUAUCAAGUUUUCGAUAUUCGAUAUUUUCAAAUCCAACAUUUUCCGAAUUUUUAACUUACAAAA
rnacentral:misc_RNA from 1 species